rnacentral:rRNA from 1 species
AGAGUUUGAUCCUGGCUCAGAUUGAACGCUGGCGGCAUGCCUAACACAUGCAAGUCGAACGGAAACGAUGCUAGCUUGCUAGCAGGCGUCGAGUGGCGGACGGGUGAGUAAUGUAUAGGGAUCUGCCUAGUAGUGGGGGACAACAUGUGGAAACGCAUGCUAAUACCGCAUACGCUCUACGGAGGAAAGUGGGGGACCUUUCGGGGCCUCAUGCUACUAGAUGAACCUAUAUUGGAUUAGCUUGUUGGUAAGGUAAUGGCUUACCAAGGCGACGAUCCAUAGCUGGUUUGAGAGAAUGAUCAGCCACACUGGGACUGAGACACGGCCCAGACUCCUACGGGAGGCAGCAGUGGGGAAUAUUGCACAAUGGAGGAAACUCUGAUGCAGCAAUGCCGCGUGUGUGAAGAAGGCCUUAGGGUUGUAAAGCACUUUCAGACGUGAGGAAAAGUAAUAAUUUAAUAAAUUAUUGCCUUGACGUUAACGUCAGAAGAAGGACCGGCUAACUCCGUGCCAGCAGCCGCGGUAAUACGGAGGGUCCAAGCGUUAAUCGGAAUUACUGGGCGUAAAGCGCGCGUAGGCGGAUAUUUAAGUCAGAUGUGAAAUCCCUGGGCUCAACCUAGGAACUGCAUUUGAUACUGGAUAUCUAGAGUAUGGUAGAGGUGAGUGGAAUUUCAGGUGUAGCGGUGAAAUGCGUAGAGAUCUGAAGGAACAUCAGUGGCGAAGGCGACUCACUGGGCCAUUACUGACGCUGAGGUGCGAAAGCGUGGGUAGCAAACAGGAUUAGAUACCCUGGUAGUCCACGCCCUAAACGAUGUCAACUAGGUGUAUGGGAGUUUAACUCCUGUGUAUCGAAGCUAACGCGAUAAGUUGACCGCCUGGGGAGUACGGUCGCAAGACUAAAACUCAAUGAAUUGACGGGGGCCCGC